rnacentral:rRNA from 1 species
GAUUGAUUUUGGUCGCCAACGAGUGGCGGACGGGUGAGUAACACGUAGGUAACCUGCCCAGAAGCGGGGGACAACAUUUGGAAACAGAUGCUAAUACCGCAUAACAACGUUGUUCGCAUGAACAACGCUUAAAAGAUGGCUUCUCGCUAUCACUUCUGGAUGGACCUGCGGUGCAUUAGCUUGUUGGUGGGGUAACGGCCUACCAAGGCGAUGAUGCAUAGCCGAGUUGAGAGACUGAUCGGCCACAAUGGGACUGAGACACGGCCCAUACUCCUACGGGAGGCAGCAGUAGGGAAUCUUCCACAAUGGGCGCAAGCCUGAUGGAGCAACACCGCGUGAGUGAAGAAGGGUUUCGGCUCGUAAAGCUCUGUUGUUAAAG